rnacentral:lncRNA from 1 species
GCCGCAUGUCUCCCCGUAAUGGUCUGAAUGACUCCUAUGAUGGGUUUGUUGUCGAUAGGAGGCUCGGAUGUGGACUGAAGUUCAUGUCCAAGGCCUCGACAUCCUUUGAAUGGUUGAUAAAGUCUCACAGAUACCUUCAUCAAAUGAAGGCUUCUAUUUUCUUCUUUAGUUAAAAGCAAUCCUCGAUGUUAUGACCAUGGUCCCGAUGGUAGCGACAGUACUUUAUCUAAUCGCACUAAGACUACUGGUUCAUCUUUCCAUACCAUCAAAGGAUGUUCUAGUUCUUGAUUUCCAUCAAAAUUUGCCUCUGAGGAACAUUCAGAUGCGUGACAUCCUUAAAAAGCUAGGGGCUCCAAGACCACUGGAGAGACUUUCCAUCAUACUUCUGCUUCGGCUGGGGAGCAAGAUGAUCCUCCCUAACCCUUUUUUGCUCUAUCUUCUUCCAUUUCUCCAUCAUCCCCUCCUUAUCAUCGAUAUACUUAUCGACAUGGGCGAGGAGCUCAGUGAAGUUGUGGGGAAACCUCUUUGAGAGAGAAAAGUAUAAAUUAUUUGCCUUCAGCCCUUUCUUAGGGGCUGACAUCGUGACUGAGUGGUCUAGAUCAUGAAUUUCUAACAUGGCCACUUUGAAGUGACUAAUGUAGUUCUAGAGAGAUUCUCCAUCCUUCUGCUUGAUAGAGAAGGAGCAUCUGUGCCCAUUUUUGGCUUCCUACUACAAAAAAAAUUAAGCAACAAACUGAUGAUCGAACUCC